GAAAAUCGCACUAUCUGGGAUUAAAAUUACUGCAAAAUUAGCAAAAUCAUAUCAGGAUCGUAUGAGGAAAUCAAUAAUUCUUUAUUAGAAAAAAAUUUCCUAUCGACAAGCUUAUCAUUAAUCAAUGUCGUUAAAAAAAAAAAGUAUGAGAAUAUCAACGGUUUUUCAAAUAGAAAUUUUCUCUCCCCAAAAAGAGAAUUGAUUCCACGCAUUUUGUGUAAAUAUUAUGUAAAUAUUGUACAACUUGUAAAUAUCAGUAUGUAAUUAUUAUUAAUUGUUAAAUCGAUUUGUAUUUAAGAUCAAAUACUCUCCUUCCCUCUUUUUUCUUUCCAAGAUUAAUUUAUUGAAUUCUGAAGAAUAUAAAUAACGUGGGUAUAAAUCAAUCUCUUGCAUAUGGAUGUAUUUUACAUUCUCGUCUUGCAAGCAACGCUCGAAAAAAAACUGAGGAAAAAAAAAUAAAAAUAUGACGUUGUAAAUCGGCAAAAAUAAUACGUCAUUCCGAUUAAUAUUCUCCAGGUGGAUAAGACGGCGUAUGAGGUAAAUUCUUAUUCCUUAAAAACUAUUAUGCAAUAUCAGAACUUUCAGUAAGAAUAUAAACUUCUGACUGAGAUUCAAAAGAACGCCUUACUAUAAAGAACACAAUAUCUAAUAAGAUCUUCCAUGGCGUUUGAUAAUAAUUUAUAUCUCUUUUUUUUUUUUGCCUUCAUUUUGCAGUCUGCCUUUCAAUUUCGUACAAAUACAUCAAAAUCAAUGUACAAUUAAUGACGUGUACACGUCCGUGUGAUGUUGUUUAUAACAAAUACAAUUUGCAACUUGUAUAUAUCAUAUCUUCGCAAGUACUUAAAACGCUAAAUUGAUUCUUUCAUUGUAUCAUCGUCUUACGGUAAGCGAUCUAAUGUACAGCGGCACAACCUCUCGUGCGUAUUGCUAGAAAAUAGCGGGGGCAAGGCAUACGAGUCGUAGUUUAGUUUAAACAAUCCGAGUAUGACAAACGCAAUAAUGUUAUACGUCUUUCGUCGCAAGCGAUGACCUCCCGAAAUGCGCAACGAUUUUUUAUCUAUUUCUGACGUUCGACAGAUUACGGAGCAUCCUGAGACCAGGCUAGAGAAAGAAAUGUAAGAAAGUAAAGAUUAAUCGCUCUGACAGCGUAACACGCUACAGUUCUUCGUAUCGAACCGCAAGGUAUACACAAAUGAAAGACAAGCAGUCGGUAAAUUCAUCUUAUAAUCACUAUUUACACACUUUUCCCUCCACUUUUCAUCUUAAUCUUUAAUCUUAUUUCUCUAUAUCUGGUUACAGAUGUACGUAAGAAUCAGUUACAUUGCAUGCGUAGAGACAAGUACGACGCCGGAGUUUCGAGUGUUCCGGAGCGGCUUGUUAAAUUGCUUUUAGUAGCUUCUAAAAGAGACUAGCGACGAGAGAGAAAAACAAACGUUACGUUACGUAUUAUUUAUUUCACACAUCACUGGAACUUAAAAAAUUACUCUUCAUUCGAUAAGUGCAAAUCCUUUUUCUUCCUCGUUAUUCUAUUUUGUCAACGUGUGAUUGCUGGCAUUUUUAUAGACGUUUCCAGAGUCCAGAAUUACAAGAGAGCACCUAAAUACCAGCGAGAAUAAUUUGAUUCCUCGAAUUAACGUCAAUUAGGGCAGAAGAGGAAAAAAGAACGAGACUCAUCGACCUAGAAUAAUUCGCAAUUGUUAACUA
rnacentral:lncRNA from 1 species